GAUGAACGCUGGCGGCGUGCCUAAUACAUGCAAGUCGAGCGAACGGACUAGAAGCUUGCUUCUCUGAUGUUAGCGGCGGACGGGUGAGUAACACGUGGAUAACCUACCUAUAAGACUGGGAUAACUUCGGGAAACCGUAGCUAAUACCGGAUAAUAUUUUGAACCGCAUGGUUCAAAAGUGAAAGACGGUCUUGCUGUCACUUAUAGAUGGGUCCGCGCUGCAUUAGCUAGUUGGUAAGGUAACGGCUUACCAAGGCAACGAUGCAUAGCCGACCUGAGAGGGUGAUCGGCCACACUGGAACUGAGACACGGUCCAGACUCCUACGGGAGGCAGCAGUAGGGAAUCUUCCGCAAUGGGCGAAAGCCUGACGGAGCAACGCCGCGUGAGUGAUGAAGGUCCUCGGAUCGUAAAACUCUGUUAUUAGGGAAGAACAUAUGUGUAAGUAACUGUGCACAUCUUGACGGUACCUAAUCAGAAAGCCACGGCUAACUACGUG
rnacentral:rRNA from 1 species